AGUGGCGGACGGGUGAGUAACGCGUGAGAAUCUGCCUUGGGGUCGGGGACAACCACUGGAAACGGUGGCUAAUACCGGAUACGCCUUCGGGUAAAAGAUUUAUUGCCCUAAGAGGAGCUCGCGUCUGAUUAGCUAGUUGGUGAGGUAAGAGCUCACCAAGGCAGCGAUCAGUAGCUGGUCUGAGAGGACGAUCAGCCACACUGGGACUGAGACACGGCCCAGACUCCUACGGGAGGCAGCAGUGGGGAAUUUUCCGCAAUGGGCGAAAGCCUGACGGAGCAAGACCGCGUGAGGGAGGAAGGCUCUUGGGUUGUAAACCUCUUUUCUCAGGGAAGAAGCUCUGACGGUACCUGAGGAAUCAGCCUCGGCUAACUCCGUGCCAGCAGCCGCGGUAAUACGGAGGAGGCAAGCGUUAUCCGGAAUUAUUGGGCGUAAAGCGUCCGCAGGUGGCGAUUCAAGUCUGCUGUCAAAGCACGGGGCUUAACUCCGUAAAGGCAGUGGAAACUGAAUAGCUAGAGUGCCGUAGGGGUAGAGGGAAUUCCCGGUGUAGCGGUGAAAUGCGUAGAGAUCGGGAAGAGCAUCGGUGGCGAAAGCGCUCUACUGGACGGCAACUGACACUCAGGGACGAAAGCUAGGGGAGCGAAUGGGAUUAGAUACCCC
rnacentral:rRNA from 1 species